AUUGAACGCUGGCGGCAGGCCUAACACAUGCAAGUCGAGCGGACGAAGGGAGCUUGUUCCUGGAUUCAGCGGCGGACGGGCGAGUAAUGCCUAGGAAUCUGCCCGGUAGUUGGGGAUAACGUCCGGAAACGGGCGCUAAUACCGCAUACGUUCUGAGGGUGAAAGUGGGGGAUCUACGGACCUCACGCGAUCAGCUGAGCCUAGGUCGGGUUAGCUCGUUGCUGGGGUAAAGGCCUACCAAGGCGACGAUCCGUAACUGGUCUGAGUGGGUGAUCAGACACACUGACACUGACACGCGGUCCAGACUCCUGCGAGGGGCAGCAGUGGAAAAUAUUGGACUAUGCGCAAAAGCGUGAUCCAGCCGUGCCGCGUGUGUGAAGAAGGUCUUCGGCUUGAAAAGCACUUUAAGUUGAGGGAAAGAGCAGUAAGUUAAUACCUAGCUGUUUUGACGUUACCAACAGAAUACGCACCGGCUAACUGCG
rnacentral:rRNA from 1 species